CUUCAACGAACCGAGCAUCAGCGGCCGUUCGCGGUCCUGGCCGUAGGCGGCGAGCAGGGCCUGGGCCUC
rnacentral:antisense_RNA from 1 species